ACCCCUAUCAAACUCCGAAUACUGUAACUUAAAAGAAUGGCAGUCAGACUACGGGAGAUAAGUUUCGUGGUCGAAAGGGAAACAGCCCAGACCGUCGUCUAAGGUCCCUAAAUUUGCACUAAGUGGCAAAGGAUGUGGGGGUGCAUAUACAACCAGGAGGUUGGCUUAGAAGCAGCCACCCUUUAAAGAGUGCGUAAUAGCUCACUGGUCGAGUGCCCUUGCGCCGAAAAUGUAACCGGGACUAAGUGUGAUACCGAAGACACGGAUUCGUAGCAAUACGAGUGGUAGAGGAGCGUUCCUUCAUCCGAUGAAGAUAUACCGUAAGGAGUAUUGGAGGAGUAGGAAGUGAAGAUGCCGGCAUGAGUAGCGAUAAAAGGGGUGAGAUUCCCCUUCACCGAUAGCCUAAGGUUCCCGGAGGUCAAUCCGCCGGGGUUAGUCGGUCCCUAAGAUGAGGCUGAAGAGCGUAGUCGAUGGGAAGCAGUUUCAUAUUCCUGCACUGAAUUGUUUGUGCGAUGGAGUGACGGAGGAAGAUAGUUGUGCGG
rnacentral:rRNA from 1 species